UUCAAAACAAGGAGAAAUGACGUACC
rnacentral:piRNA from 1 species